GAUAUUGCUUAGAAAAGAUGAGUAAUUAUUUAAUGCCAUUACAGAGAGCUAGGAAAGAUGAGAACUAGUAUGGUGACGAAUAAUGAAGAUGGUCUUGGAGCAGACUGAUGCUGUGAGCAUACAUGUUAGCAGCAAGCGAUUAGCACCCGUUACCGUGCUGGAGUAUUUUUAUGUACUUUUUGCGGGUCUUAUUGUGAGAUAAGGCUAAAUUAGGGUGGUAUCACGUUAAUGAAUAUUAGACGUCCCUAGG
rfam:Lactobacillus reuteri DSM 20016, complete genome.